rnacentral:rRNA from 1 species
GACGGAGGGGGCAAGCGUUGUUCGGAAUUAUUGGGCGUAAAGGGCUCGUAGGCGGACGGUGUGUCUGGCGUGAAAUCUCCACUGCUUAACGGGGGAGGGGCCGCUGGAAACUGCCGAUCUUGAGUAUGGGUAGAGGACCAUGGAAUUUCGGGGUGUAGCGGUGGAAUGCGUAGAUAUCCGAAAGAAACACCGGUGGCGAAGG